rnacentral:rRNA from 1 species
GUGUCAGCCGCCGCGGUAAUACGGAGGGUGCAAGCGUUGUCCGGAUUUAUUGGGUUUAAAGGGUGCGUAGGCGGCUUAUUAAGUCAGGGGUGAAAGACUGCAGCUCAACUGUAGCAGUGCCUUUGAUACUGAUGAGCUUGAGUACAGAUGAGGCUGGCGGAAUGGGUGGUGUAGCGGUGAAAUGCAUAGAUACCAUCCAGAACACCGAUUGCGAAGGCAGCCGGCUAAACUGUAACUGACGCUGAGGCACGAAAGCGUGGGGAUCGAACAGGAUUAGAUACCCUAGUAGUCC